rnacentral:misc_RNA from 1 species
GAUGAAGAACGUAGCGAAAUGCGAUAAGUAAUGUGAAUUGCAGAAUUCAGUGAAUCAUGGAAUCUUUGAACGCACAUUGCGCCCGCCAGUAUUCUGGCGGGCAUGCCUGUUCGAGCGUCAUUUCAACCAUCAAGCCCCAGGCUUGUGUUGGGGACCUGCGGCUGCCGCAGGCCCUGAAAACCAGUGGCGGGCUCGCUGUCACACCGGGCGUAGUAGAUUUUAUCUCGCUCAGGGCGUGCUGCGGGUCCCGGCCGUUAAAAGCCUUUUUUUACCCAAGGUUGACCUCGGAUCAGGUAGGAAGACCCGCUGAACUUAAGCAUAUCAAUAAGCGGAGGA